UACAGAGGUCCCAAGCGUUGUUCGGAUUCAUUUGGCGUAAAGGGUGUGUAGGUGGCGCCGUAAGUCGGGUGUGAAAUUUCGGAGCUUAACUCCGAAACUGCAUUCGAUACUGCGGUGCUUGAGGACUGGAGAGGAGACUGGAAUUCUUGGUGUAGCGGUGAAAUGCGUAGAUAUCAAGAGGAACACCUGCGGCGAAGGCGGGUUGCUGGGCCGACACUGACGCUGAGGCGCGAAAGCCAGGGGAGCGAACGGG
rnacentral:rRNA from 1 species